rnacentral:rRNA from 1 species
UACGUAGGUCCCGAGCGUUGUCCGGAUUUAUUGGGCGUAAAGCGAGCGCAGGUGGUUUAUUAAGUCUGGUGUAAAAGGCAGUGGCUCAACCAUUGUAUGCAUUGGAAACUGGUGGACUUGAGUGCAGGAGAGGAGAGUGGAAUUCCAUGUGUAGCGGUGAAAUGCGUAGAUAUAUGGAGGAGCACCGGUGGCGAAAGCGGCUCUCUGGCCUGUAACUGACACUGAGGCUCGAAAGCGUGGGGAGCAAACAGG